GGGGGAUUAGCUCAGUUGGGAGAGCGACUGAAUCGCAUUCAGUAGGUCAUCGGUUCGAUCCCGUUAUCCUCCACCA
rnacentral:tRNA from 1 species